GUAGGAAUAGAGAGAGUGUAUGAAACAGUAACCUUCGUCAAAAUCAGUUUCUUGGUACCUUAGUCAAUAUUAGAAUUCUGAGUUCUUUUUGAAUGAUUCUGACUAUUAUCCGUGAGUUUACUGAGAGGUUCUUGAGUGUUAGAGUGCUCCCUUCAUGGUUGUUGAAGAGCAUAAGUCAUCAUCUUGUUCAGAAUUCCCAAUCAGUUUCUGAUUCCAGCAGCUUAUACAGCAAUGACAACAACUAUUGGAGAACCAUGUGGUUUUGCUGAACCGAUGGGUGUCUCUCCAGAUCAUGAAACAAUGAAGAUACUGAUCAAAAUAAAUUUCACGUGAUCUCUUUUUAGAAGGGUACUUGUUAUGCUCAAGAAGAUGAAGCAUGGAUUUCAGUCAACUACAACGUAAUAUCGUGGAGAAUUUUUGGGAUUUGUAAGGUUCUGGAUCACAUGAUGGAACCAUGUGUGAGGGAGAUGUGCAUGAUUGCAGAUGCUCCACUAGAUGGUGUUGGAAAUGAAAUUGUUAUCGAAAUAGAACCUCUUAUGAUGGGUUAUAGUGGUCAUGAAGAUAUGAGCAAACAAGGAGUUAGCAAGGCUACUAUAACUGAGAAGGAAGUGAGCUUGAUCCAGUGGUUCCUCAAAUUCUAACUGCAGCUGAAAGAUUAAAUGCAGAUAUGAGAAUGGUGUGGGAAAGAAACAGGAUAAUAGGCAAAUCCAUAUUUUAUGAGGGGUCUAAUUAUGAUGUCAGCCAUAUAUCUGUUAGGACAAUUCCGAAGAAUAUAUCAGCUAGUGGGCAAUUAGUAAUAAAGGAAGGGGUUGAAGCUGUGGGUACGGAUGAAGUUGUUAGAAGAUUGGAAGCAGUAACUGAACAUCAGCUAAAGGAAGGAUCUCUUCUGGAUUUUACAAUCAACUUAAAAGAACCAGAAAUAAAGAAGAGAAAGUACAAGAACAAAGUCUCUAUAGUGGAAGAAGUCAAAGGGGUUACAAGAUGUUGGUCCUGAGUUAAAUAAUGAAGAUGUCGCGUCUAAGGAUGUAAUCCUGGUGAGACUAAUGAAGACCCAUUUGAUAUGUUCAUUGACAUUCCUGCAAGCCCUCCUCCGGUGAUUUCUGCUAAUCAUGGUAAUGAGAUGGUGAUAGAGGGUCCGAUCAACAAUCAGGUACACACUACUAUACACCAAAUUUAUGUUUUUAGUUCUUGUUAUCUACCUGAAAAGCAUGAUGCAAGAAUAAAUGAGUGUGUUAGGAUGUUCAUAUGUCUUGAUAAAGAUGGUAUAUCACAUAUUAGAAUGUAUAUCAUAUGAAAAUCUGUUUAACUCGUGAACUGGAUCGGUUUGCAUACUUGUAUGCAAACCAUGCUUGAACUGCGGUUACGGAACCGGGUUUGUUUCCAAAUCGGUACGCAAACUAAAACAGUUAUGUGUUCAUGGACUCGGCAAUGUUUCCAAAUCGGUACGCAAACCGUUAUAGUUAUGUGAACUACGGAACCUGCGAUAGCCUUAAGGUUUCCAAACCGAUACGCAUACUUAAAAAGUUCUGUGAACUCCGGAAAUCGGUUUUGUUUAAGUGUUUACAAACCGGUACGCGUACUAUGACUAAACUGACGCACGAACUACUAUGUAUUUGUACUCGUAUAUCUACUAAUCAUGUCGAUUAUAUUUUCAAGUGUGUUUUAUUUAUUUGUAUGAGAUAAUUAGCAUUUGAUUAAUUCUCUAAAAUACUAGGCUAAUUGAUCACAUGUUUGUGACUCAGAUUUAAUUUCUUGUGUGUUCAUGAUAAUAAAUAUAAAUCUUUUAAGUUCAAAUCGGCUAGUUUCGACUAACCUGUUGAACAUAGUCUUUGUACAUGGUUCGGUUAUGGUUUUACCUAAACAGAGUGUAUAUCUUGUUUAUGUGAAUCAGAUUCAAAGAUUCAUCUAAUGGUGGUUAUUGUUUUCUUGGUUCCAGAGCCAUUUUUAGCUUAAACCAAAAGCAACCUAUGCUUUGAAAGUUUAUAAAGGGGGAACUUCAACCAAAAUCCCGACACUACUUUUUGUUGUGUCCUAGUUGUAUCUAGAGUCGUCCUCUUCCUAACCCUUUUAGGGUUUAGCGACUACAAAGUCUUCGUAAUGAUUCGUGA